UACGUAGGGUGCAAGCGUUAAUCGGAAUUACUGGGCGUAAAGCGUGCGCAGGCGGUUUUGUAAGUCUGUCGUGAAAUCCCCGGGCUCAACCUGGGAAUUGCGAUGGAGACUGCAAGGCUAGAAUCUGGCGGAGGGGGGUAGAAUUCCACGUGUAGCAGUGAAAUGCGUAGAGAUGUGGAGGAACACCGAUGGCGAAGGCAGCCCCCUGGGUCAAGAUUGACGCUCAUGCACGAAAGCGUGGGGAGCAAACAGG
rnacentral:rRNA from 1 species